rnacentral:rRNA from 1 species
GACGAACGCUGGCGGCGUGCUUAACACAUGCAAGUCGAACGGAAAGGCCCUGCUUUUGUGGGGUGCUCGAGUGGCGAACGGGUGAGUAACACGUGAGUAACCUGCCCUUGACUUUGGGAUAACUUCAGGAAACUGGGGCUAAUACCGGAUAGGUGCUCCUGCUGCAUGGUGGGGGUUGGAAAGUUUCGGCGGUUGGGGAUGGACUCGCGGCUUAUCAGCUUGUUGGUGGGGUAGUGGCUUACCAAGGCUUUGACGGGUAGCCGGCCUGAGAGGGUGACCGGCCACAUUGGGACUGAGAGACGGCCGAGACUCCGAAGGGAGGCAGCAGUGGGGAAUAUUGCACAAUGGGCGGAAGCCUGAUGCAGCAACGCCGCGUGCGGGAUGACGGCCUUAGGGUUGUAAACCGCUUUCGCCUGUGACGAAGCGUGAGUGACGGUAAUGGGUAAAGAAGCACCGGCUAACUACGUG